CCCUUAGAUGUCCUGGGCUGCACGCGCGCUACACUGAUGUGUCCAGUAAGCACCUAACCUCUUCCGAAAGGAACGGGUAACCUUUGCAAAGCACAUCGUGAUGGGGAUAGAUUAUUGCAAUUAUUAGUCUUGAACGAGGAAUUCCUAGUAAGCGCAAGUCAGCAGCUUGCGCUGAUUACGUCCCUGCCCUUUGUACACACCGCCCGUCGCUCCUACCGAUGGGUGAUCCGGUGAAUGAUUCGGACUUCAGCGGCUCCUCUGGGGUGCGCCGGAGAAAGUUUUGUGAACCUUAUCACUUGGAGGAAGGAGAAGUCGUAACA
rnacentral:rRNA from 1 species